rnacentral:rRNA from 1 species
AUGCAGCAAGAGGAUUUCCUGGGUUGCUUGGAAGCAUCGAGUGCAUGCAUUGGAAAUGGAAGAACUAUCCAUUUGCUUGGCAGUAGAUGUACAAAGGUGCCAAAGGCGGUUGCAUUGUGGUACUUGAGGCAGUGGCCACACAGGACAUUUGGAUUUGGCACUCCAUCUUUGGUAUUGCCAGGAACUCACAAUGACAUCAACGUGUUGCAGUGCUCCCAUGUCUUUGCCAAGCUUGUUGAAGGUCAUUCUCCUCCGGUGAAAUCUGAGGUCAAUGUGCGGCACUACAACAAGGGGUACUAUCUAGCUGAUGGCAUCUAUCCGAGAUGGUCUACAUUUGCGAAGACUAUCUCAAACCCUGUGCCAUGA